rnacentral:rRNA from 1 species
AAAUUCGCCUUCAUGAAGCCGGAAUUGCUAGUAAUGGCAGGUCAGCAUACUGCCGUGAAUACGUUCCCGGGCCUUGUACACACCGCCCGUCACACCAUGAGAGUUGGGGAUACCCGAAGCCUGUGAGCUAACUAUUUAUAGGAGCAGCAGUCGAAGGUAGAAUCAAUGAUUGGGUGAAGUCGUAACAAGGUAUC